UACGUAGGGCGCAAGCGUUGUCCGGAAUUAUUGGGCGUAAAGAGCUCGUAGGCGGCCUGUUGCGUCCGCUGUGAAAUCCCGGGGCUCAACCCCGGGCGUGCAGUGGAUACGGGCUGGCUGGAGGCAGGCAGGGGAGAACGGAAUUCCUGGUGUAGCGGUGAAAUGCGCAGAUAUCAGGAGGAACACCUGUGGCGAAAGCGGCUCACUGGACCACAACUGACGCUGAGGCGCGAAAGCUAGGGGAGCAAACAGG
rnacentral:rRNA from 1 species